rnacentral:lncRNA from 1 species
UUAUAUCACCAAAUGGCUACUGUAAAAAUCUUGGUGCAAGAAAUUUUUCAUUUUGGUUGGUUUUCAAGUUAGCCAAGUUUGGUGGUUAGACUUGUCUAAGUCGUCGUAUGGUGCAAGGAUUUGUGAAAUUUUCAGUGUCUUGGAUUUUGAGAUUUGAUAGUUGAAAUGCACUUACUAUAUCACCAAAUGGCUACUGAAAAAAUCUUGGUGCAAGAAAUUUUUCAUUUUGGUUGGUUUUCAAGCUAGUCCAGUUUGGUGGUGAGACAUGGCUAAGUCGGUGCAUAGUGCCAAGAUUUGGAAAAUUUUCAAACUCUUUGGUUUGGAGAUUUGAUGGUUGGAAUGAACUCUUUAUAUCAAAAAAUUGCUACUGUAAAAAUCUUGGUGCAAGAAAUUUUUCAUUUUGGUUGGUUUUCAAGCUAGCCAAGUUUGGUGGUGACAUAUGGCUAAGUCGGGGUGCAAGGUUCCAAAAAUUUGGCAAAUCUUCAAAGUCUUGGUUUUGGAGAUUUGAUGGUUUAAAUGCACUCUUGAUAUCACUAAAUGGCUCUUGUAAAAAUCUUGGUGAAGAAAUAUUUCAUUUUGGUUCGUUUUCAAGUUAGCCAAGUUUGGUGGUGAGACUUGGCUAAGUGGUCGCAAGGUCCCAAGAUUUGGGAAAUCUUCGAAGUCUUGCUUUUUGAGAAUUGAUGGUUGAAAUGCACUCUUUAUAUCACUAAUUGGCUACUGUAAAAAUCUUGGCACAAGAAUUUUUUCAUUUUGGUUGGUUUUCAAGCUAGCCAAGUUUGUUGGUGACACAUGGUUAAGUCGGGGUGCAUGGUUCCAAGGAUUUGGGAAAUUUUAAAAGAUUUGGUUUUUGAGAUUUGAUGGUUGGAAUGCACUCUUUAUAUCACCAAAUGGCUCUUCUAAAAAUCUUUUUUCAAGAAAUUUUUCAUUAUGGUUGGUUUUCAAGUUAGCCAAGUUUGGUGGUGAGAGUUGGCUAAGGCGUCGCAAGGUGCCAAGAUUUGGGAAAUUUUCAAAGUCUUGCUUAUUGAGAUUUGAUGGUUGAACUGCACUCUUUAUAUCACUAAAUGGCAACUCUAAAGAUCUUGGUGCAAGAAAUUUUUCGUUUUGGUUGGUUUUAAAGCUAAUCAAGUUUGGUGGUGAGGCAUGGCUAAGUUGGUGCACGGUGCCAAGAUUUGGAAAUUUUCAAAGUCUUGGUUUUUGAGAUUUGAUGGGUGGAAUGAACUAUUUAUAUCACCAAAUGGCUACUGUAAAACUCUUGGUGCAAGUAUUUUUUCAUUUUGUUUGGUUUUCAAGUUAGCCAAGUUUGGUGGUUAGACUUGUCUAAGUCGUCUCAUGGUGUCAAGAUUUGGGAAAUUUGCAAAGUCUUGGUUUUGCAGAUUUAAAGGUUGGAAUGCACUAUUUAUGUCACCAAAUGGCUACUGUAAAAUCUUGGUGCAAGAAAUUUUUCAUUUUGGUAUGUU